rnacentral:SRP_RNA from 1 species
CGGCGCAGUGGCGUGUGUCUGUGUCCCAGCUAUUCGGAGGCUGAGGCUGGAGGAUCUUUUGAGUCCAGGGUUCUGGGCUGUAGUGCACUAUGCCGAUCAGGUGUCCACACUAAGUUCGGCAUCAAUAUGGUGACCUCCUGGGAGCGGGGGACCACCAGGUUGCCUAAGGAGGGGUGAACCGGCCUAGGUCGGAAACAGAGCAGGUCAAAACUCCCGUGCUGAUCAAAAGUGAUCGUGUCUGUGAAUAGCCACUGCACUCCAGCCUGGGCAAAAUAGCGAGACCCUGUCUCU